GGAUGGGAGAAAAGCAUUGUUCUCUUACAGCAUGAUUAUGCAAUUUCCUCCAAUAGAGACAACAACAGCAUCGUUCCACACAUGGCACUGACAGACGACGCGACAUGUCAAAUGACAAUAAUACUGUCGCACACGAAGAAAAUGAAGCAAUCAACAGUACUGAUGGAGAUGAGAGAAGGAGAAAAUUUCAAGUGUGAGAUUACAUUUGAUGAGAUUGAUAUGACAAUGGUACGUGCACCAGAGCCAACUGUCAAACAGCACUCCAGCCAGCAACAUUUUCCUCUUGUAUUCUUUGACUUGGAAUCAAAAGGAUUAGGUUUGUUACUUUUUACUACCUGCUCAAUAUUCAAAUUGAUUGUUCAGUUGAGAAAAGAGGUUCUUAAAUGAAUACAUGUAUUAUAUUUUGGUGUUAAUUCAUUUUCCAGAUAGAGAUUAUCAUAUUACACAGCUGCCGUGUUUGGCGAAGAAAAGUUUUCCACCUAUACCUUUCCAAAAAUACCUAUAACAGCAAAAGACUCAGAAAUAACAGAAAUCGAAAAUGCUAAUGGAAAUAUGUUUAGCAAAAAUGGAAAAUGUAGAAGUCAAUCCAUGGAAAAUAGAUGCUCCUCUUAAUUUUGUUUCAAAAUUUCAAACUAAAGUAAUUCUGCAUUUACAAUAUAUAGCAAUGUAUGAAUGUUAACAAAUAUGAAUGUUUAUUGUAUACUAUACUCAAUUUAACAUGUUCUGUUUAU